rnacentral:miRNA from 1 species
UGACCAACCCUAAGUGAGUUUU